rnacentral:rRNA from 1 species
CCUACGGGAGGCUGCAGUGGGGGAUAUUGCACAAUGGGGGAAACCCUGAUGCAGCGACGCCGCGUGGGUGAAGAAGCGCCUCGGCGCGUAAAGCCCUGUCAGCAGGGAAGAAAAUGACGGUACCUGAAGAAGAAGCCCCGGCUAACUACGUGCCAGCAGCCGCGGUAAUACGUAGGGGGCAAGUGUGAUCCGGAUUUACUGGGUGUAAAGGGGGCGCAGACGGCGAUGCAAGCCAGGAGUGAAAGCCCGGGGCCCAACCCCGGGACUGCUCUUGGAACUGCGUGGCUAGAGUGCAGGAGGGGCAGGCGGAAUUCCGGGAGUAGCGGUGAAAUGCGUAGAUAUCAGGAGGAACACCGGUGGCGAAGGCGGCCUGCUGGACUGCAACUGACGUUGAGGCCCGAAAGCGUGGGGAGCAAACAGGAUUAGAUACCCUUGUAGUC